rnacentral:rRNA from 1 species
CCUACGGGAGGCAGCAGUGGGGAAUAUUGGGCAAUGGAGGAAACUCUGACCCAGCGACGCCGCGUGCGGGAUGAAGGCCUUCGGGUUGUAAACCGCUUUCAGUAGGGAAGAAGCGAAAGUGACGGUACCUACAGAAGAAGCACCGGCUAACUAUGUGCCAGCAGCCGCGGUAAUACAUAGGGUGCAAGCGUUGUCCGGAAUUAUUGGGCGUAAAGAGCUCGUAGGUGGUUCGUCACGUCGGAUGUGAAAAUCUGGGGCUCAACCCCAGACCUGCAUUCGAUACGGGCGAUCUAGAGUGUGGUAGGGGAGACUGGAAUUCCUGGUGUAGCGGUGGAAUGCGCAGAUAUCAGGAGGAACACCGAAUGGCGAAGGCAGGUCUCUGGGCCAUUACUGACACUGAGGAGCGAAAGCGUGGGGAGCGAACAGGAUUAGAUACCCUGGUAGUCCACGCCGUAAACGGUGGGCACUAGUUGUGGGAACCUUCCACGGUUUCUGCGACGCAGCUAACGCAUUAAGUGCCCCGCCUGGGGAGUACGAUCGCAAGAUUAAAACUCAAAGGAAUUGACGG